rfam:Ictidomys tridecemlineatus contig020702, whole genome shotgun sequence.
GGGGUUGUGGCUCAGUGGUAGAGCGCUCGCCUAGCACGUUUGAGGCCCUGGGUUCAAUCCUCAGCACCA